AAGAGAUCGGGAUAACACCUGGAAACAGAUGCUAAUACCGGAUAACAAUAGAUGAUGCCUAUCAACUGUUUAAAAGAUGGUUCUGCUAUCACUCUUGGAUGGACCUGCGGUGCAUUAGCUAGUUGGUAGGGUAACGGCCUACCAAGGCGAUGAUGCAUAGCCGAGUUGAGAGACUGAUCGGCCACAUUGGGACUGAGACACGGCCCAAACUCCUACGGGAGGCAGCAGUA
rnacentral:rRNA from 1 species